AUUGAACGCUGGCGGCAGGCUUAACACAUGCAAGUCGAGCGGAGCGAGGGUGCUUGCACCUUAGCUUAGCGGCGGACGGGUGAGUAAUGCUUAGGAAUCCGCCUAUUAGUGGGGGACAACAUUCCGAAAGGAAUGCUAAUACCGCGUACGCCCUACGGGGGAAAGCAGGGGAUCUUCGGACCUUGCGCUAAUAGAUGAGCCUAAGUCGGAUUAGCUAGUUGGUGGGGUAAAGGCCUACCAAGGCGACGAUCUGUAGCGGGUCUGAGAGGAUGAUCCGCCACACUGGGACUGAGACACGGCCCAGACUCCUACGGGAGGCAGCAGUGGGGAAUAUUGGACAAUGGGCGGAAGCCUGAUCCAGCCAUGCCGCGUGUGUGAAGAAGGCCUUUUGGUUGUAAAGCACUUUAAGCGAGGAGGAGGCUACUUAGAUUAAUACUCUGGGAUAGUGGACGUUACUCGCAGAAUAAGCACCGGCUAACUCUGUGCCAGCCGCCGCAGUAA
rnacentral:rRNA from 1 species